UAUUGAUCUAAUCGUGGCCGC
rnacentral:piRNA from 1 species